UGGAGUAUGUGGUUUAAUUCGAUGCAACGCGAAGAACCUUACCUGGUCUUGACAUCCCGGAGACCCUUAGGAAACUAGGGGGUGGCUUCCAUCUGGAAGAAUCUGGAGACAGGUGCUGCAUGGCUGUCGUCAGCUCGUGUCGUGAGAUGUUGGGUUAAGUCCCGCAACGAGCGCAACCCUUGCCUUUAGUUGCCAGCAGUUCGGCUGGGCACUCUAAAGGGACUGCCGGUGUUAAACCGGAGGAAGGUGGGGAUGACGUCAAGUCCUCAUGGCCUUUAUGACCAGGGCUACACACGUACUACAAUGGCCGAUACAAAGGGCAGCGACACUGCGAGGUGAAGCCAAUCCCGUAAAAUCGGUCUCAGUCCGGAUUGGAGUCUGCAACUCGACUCCAUGAAGUUGGAAUCGCUAGUAAUCGUGGAUCAGCAUGCCACGGUGAAUACGUUCCCGGGCCUU
rnacentral:rRNA from 1 species